GGUUCGAUGGCCUAGUUGGUUAUGGCAUCUGUCUUACACACAGAAGGUCCUCGGUUCGAGCCCGGGUCGAAUCA
rnacentral:tRNA from 4 species